UACAGAGGGUGCGAGCGUUAAUCGGAAUUACUGGGCGUAAAGGGCGCGUAGGUGGUUAAUUAAGUCAGAUGUGAAAUCCCCGGGCUUAACCUGGGAAUGGCAUAUGAAACUGAUUAGCUAGAGUUUGGGAGAGGGAAGUGGAAUUUCAGGUGUAGCGGUGAAAUGCGUAGAUAUCUGAAGGAACACCAGUGGCGAAGGCGACUUCCUGGCCCGAUACUGACGCUGAAGCGCGACAGCGUGGGGAGCAAACAGG
rnacentral:rRNA from 1 species